CAAAUAUAUGUAUUAAUAAAAUCUCAGCAUUUGUUUUGUUCUAUUGGAAUCGAUAAAUAGACUGGAAAAAAUUGGAAAGAGUUAAUCGUUUGGCUACUGAAUAUAUUCGCGAGUGAUAAAAACUAAGAUCUUUAAUUUAAUAUUUACUCGUAUUUUUCAUAACAAACGUAACUUGCGGAUGGCCAAGCUGAUUUCAAAGAAGAAAAUCUACUUAGGGAAGUCAUCUGCUUGUUUGUCGAGAAAAGAUAGCGUCUCCCUUCAAAUGUGUGUUAAGGAAAAAAAGGCAAAACUUGAGCAUUGCCAACUAAUAGAAGAGAAUUUUAAAA